AUUGAACGCUGGCGGCAGGCCUAACACAUGCAAGUCGAGCGAGCGGCGGACGGGUGAGUAAUGUCUGGGAAACUGCCCGAUGGAGGGGGAUAACUACUGGAAACGGUAGCUAAUACCGCAUACUAUCAGAUGUGCCCAUAUGGGAUUAGCUAGUAGGUGGGGUAACGGCUCACCUAGGCGACGAUCCCUAGCUGGUCUGAGAGGAUGAUCAGCCACACUGGGACUGAGACACGGUCCAGACUCCGACGUGAGGCAGCAGUGGGGAAUAUGGCACAAGGGGCGCAAGCCUGAUGCAGCCAUGCCGCGUGUAUGAAGAAGGCCUUCGGGUUGUAAAGUACUUUCAGCGGGGAGGCGUUACCCGCAGAAGAAGCACCGGCUAACUCCGUGCCAGCAGCCGCGGUAAUAC
rnacentral:rRNA from 1 species